rnacentral:rRNA from 1 species
UACAGAGGUUGCAAGCGUUGUUCGGAUUUAUUGGCGUAAAGGGUCCGUAGGCGGUCCAUAAAGUCUGAUGUGAAAUCCCACAGCUCAACUGUGGAACUGCAUUGGAAACUCAUGGACUAGAGUAUGAGAGGGGUUAAGGGAAUUCCCGGUGUAAGGGUGAAAUCUGCAGAGAUCGGGAGGAACACCAGUCGCGAAGGCGCUUAACUGGCUCAUUACUGACGCUCAGGGACGAAAGCUAGGGUAGCAAACGGG